rnacentral:lncRNA from 1 species
UUUGAGUUGGCAUAUUUCUCACCAAUCUGAGUCGGUGAUGUGGAUUUGUGAAUCCUACCUCGAACAAAAGUCGCUUUGACUGCUAAUGUGGUGGUGUAGACCCCACUUUGAACAAAAGAAGAAGGCAACCCAUUAAAUUUCUUUCUCUUGAUUGACGAUGCCCAACAUCUUUUUCCAAUUCCUUCAAUCUUCUAAGUAGUCAAG